CACGUAGGCACCAAGCGUUGUCCGGAUUUAUUGGGCGUAAAGAGCUCGUAGGCGGUUUGUCGCGUCUGCUGUGAAAAUCCAGGGCUUAACCCUGGACCUGCAGUGGGUACGGGCAGACUAGAGUGCGGUAGGGGAGAUCGGAAUUCCUGGUGUAGCGGUGAAAUGCGCAGAUAUCAGGAGGAACACCGGUGGCGAAGGCGGAUCUCUGGGCCGUAACUGACGCUGAGGAGCGAAAGCAUGGGGAGCGAACAGG
rnacentral:rRNA from 1 species